rnacentral:tRNA from 1 species
GUAUAGUGUAGUGGUUAUCACAUUAGUCUUACAAACUAAUAGUCUCCAGUUCGAAUCUGG